UACGUAGGGGGCUAGCGUUGUCCGGAAUCAUUGGGCGUAAAGCGCACGCAGGCGGUCUGCUAAGUUUGGAGUGACAGUUGGUGGCUCAACCACCAAAGUGCUUUGAAAACUGAUAGACUUGAGGGCUUCAGAGGGACACGGAAUUCCGGGUGGAGUGGUGAAAUGCGUAGAGAUCCGGAGGAACACCAAAGGCGAAGGCAGUGUCCUGGGGAGUACCUGACGCUCAGGUGCGAAAGCCAGGGGAGCGAACGGG
rnacentral:rRNA from 1 species